UUAAUACUGAGGCUUGGAACGAUCCAAAAUUCUUGGAGACAUUUAAGAAGCCUGUGGACAAAAUGUAAUGUGAUGAGAAGAAAAGAGCUAAGAAAAGGGAAGGAACUUCAAUAGGAUCAGCUGAGAAAAAGGCAAAGCUAUCUGCAAGUGCAUAAGGCAAAAUUGUAAGGUCAAGUAAAAAGAGAUCGAUAAAGUUUCAAAGCUGCUCUAAAAAGAAAGUAGAAGUUGAAGAAAUCUCAACUGAUGAGGACUCUUCAUGUGAAGACGAAAUAGAAUUUGAAGAAAUCUAUAAUAUAAUGAGGAACUGAGCCGCAACGUCAGCAGGUAAGUGGACUCCACCUCUUUUUGUUCUUUUUUAAAAUGUGUCCUGUUAUGGGCUUGACAUAGAUUUUCUUUCCUGGGCUUACCGUUGAUGUCUUCUUUGCCGAUCUUUCACCCUAGAGACAAUGAAUCCUUGUCUCAACUCUUAGGCUCUCCUAUCGUUCAACGUAUCUGUCUUUAAUCUGGCUAAUAAAUGCUAUUGCCAUUUAACCAAAACGCUGUCGACCUCUCUGUUUCCUUCAUGCCAAAUCUAUAAAUUGGAGAAAGUUGAUCUCAUUCAUUCCUUGAUCGUCUUCUUCAUCGUGAUUUCAACCCUCUACGGUGUUUCCGCGGAUUCGGUAAAAGGUUGCGCUGAUUUUAUCGAGGCGAGUUCGUCUUUGGUCAGCUCUCGGAAAGGAGCAGAUUGGAAACUUGAUUAUUCUCACAUCACUUUUGAACUUCAAACAGUAGAUGGAUUGGUGAAGGACAGUACACAGUGUGCCCCUAAUGGCUACUAUUUCAUCCGUCUAUGACAAGGGCUCAUUCAUUUCUCAAGAUUAAUGGACCUGAAGGAUGGUCAUGGCAUCCAGAUAAGGUAACAUGUACCUCAAAUCGACCCCAGCUUCCAAAUUUUUUUUUGGAUCCCAAUCUCCCACCUAUCACAGAGUUCACAGCUAGAUGCUGUGGUGAAAGAAGCGACUUGGGAUGUAUAAAAAAGGAAAUAAGCUUUGUGAUGACAUGACAUCGAUCCUCACAUCUCCUGCUUAGUCUGCUAAACUAUCUGAUUUAUUGCCAACUACGAGAUUUUUUUAUGGUUUUCUCUUCUGACUUCUUAGCUGUUGAUUCUUAAUAAUAUGUGUUUUUUGAUUCAUGUUGUUUCAGAGAAAUGGCUAUCUCAGACACCGAGUGAACCUAUCAAAUCAUUCUUUAAGCCGGUGGAAAAGAGACGUAGCGUUCAAGUACAUGUUGAUGCCAUGAAACUCUCUUACAUCUGUGAUUGAAAGAUUCAUUUACGAUUUUUUCUAAUAAUAUUUAGAUAUGUUAGUUUUUAACAUUUUCUUACUGAGUUGUUGGUUGUCUACAUUUUCUGAUGAGAUUUAAUGUCAUUCAAUAAACAAGAAGAAAUCUGAGAUC